AGCGAACGCUGGCGGCAGGCUUAACACAUGCGAGUCGAGCGGGCACUUUCGGGUGUCAGCGGCGGACGGGUGAGUAACGCGUGGGAACGUGCCCUCUGGUUCGGAAUAACUCAGGGAAACUUGAGCUAAUACCGGAUACGCCCUUUUGGGGAAAGGCUUGCUGCCGGAGGAUCGGCCCGCGUCUGAUUAGCUAGUUGGUGAGGUAACGGCUCACCAAGGCGACGAUCAGUAGCUGGUCUGAGAGGAUGAUCAGCCACACUGGGACUGAGACACGGCCCAGACUCCUACGGGAGGCAGCAGUGGGGAAUAUUGGACAAUGGGCGCAAGCCUGAUCCAGCCAUGCCGCGUGAGUGAUGAAGGCCUUAGGGUUGUAAAGCUCUUUUAUCCGGGACGAUAAUGACGGUACCGGAGGAAUAAGCCCCGGCUAACUUCGUG
rnacentral:rRNA from 1 species